GACGAACCGUGCGAACGUUAUUCGGAAUCACUGGGCUUAAAGGGCGCGUAGGCGGGCCACCGAGUCCGGGGUGAAAUCCCACGGCCCAACCGUGGAAGUGCCUUGGAUACUGGUGGCCUCGAGGGGGGUAGGGGCGUGCGGAACUCAGGGUGGAGCGGUGAAAUGCGUAGAUAUCCUGAGGAACACCGGUGGCGAAAGCGGCGCGCUGGACCCCUUCUGACGCUGAGGCGCGAAAGCCAGGGGAGCAAACGGG
rnacentral:rRNA from 1 species